UCGGACGUCGUGCACGGCGCACACCCGCUCCCUAUAAAAUUCAGUUUCGUCAGUGGAGCGCGGGAUUCUUGGGUUCGACUCCCAGCGUUCGAG